GACGAACGCUGGCGGCGUGCCUAAUACAUGCAAGUAGAACGCUGAAGCUUGGUGCUUGCACCGAGCGGAUGAGUUGCGAACGGGUGAGUAACGCGUAGGUAACCUGCCUGGUAGCGGGGGAUAACUAUUGGAAACGAUAGCUAAUACCGCAUAAGAGUAGAUGUUGCAUGACAUUUGCUUAAAAGGUGCAAUUGCAUCACUACCAGAUGGACCUGCGUUGUAUUAGCUAGUUGGUGAGGUAACGGCUCACCAAGGCAACGAUACAUAGCCGACCUGAGAGGGUGAUCCGCCACACUGGGACUGAGACACGGCCCAGACUCCUACAGGAGGCAGCAGUAGGGAAUCUUUGGAAAUGGACGGAAGUCUGACCGAGUAACGCCGCGAGAGGGAAGAAGGGUUUCGGAUCGUAAAGCUCUGUUGUAAGGGAAGAAAGAGUGUGAGAGUGGAAAGUUCACACUGUGACGGUAUCUUACCAGAAAGGGACGGCUAACUACGUG
rnacentral:rRNA from 1 species